rnacentral:rRNA from 1 species
AGAGUUUGAUCCUGGCUCAGGAUGAACGCUAGCGACAGGCUUAACACAUGCAAGUCGAGGGGCAGCGGGGAUGAAGGCUUGCCUUCAUCUGCCGGCGACCGGCGCACGGGUGAGUAACACGUAUGCAACCUGCCCGUCUCAGGGGGAUAACCGGGAGAAAUCCCGCCUAAUACCCCACGACACCUCCGGAAGGCAUCUUCCGGAGGUCAAAGGAGAGAUCCGGAGACGGAUGGGCAUGCGGCGCAUUAGCUAGUCGGCGGGGUAACGGCCCACCGAGGCGACGAUGCGUAGGGGUUCUGAGAGGAAGGUCCCCCACACUGGAACUGAGACACGGUCCAGACUCCUACGGGAGGCAGCAGUGAGGAAUAUUGGUCAAUGGGCGGAAGCCUGAACCAGCCAAGUCGCGUGAGGGAAGAAUGGUCUAUGGCCUGUAAACCUCUUUUGAAAGGGAAGAAUAAGUGGCACGUGUGCCAUGAUGCCAGUACCUUUCGAAUAAGCAUCGGCUAACUCCGUGCCAGCAGCCGCGGUAACACGGGGGAUGCGAGCGUUAUCCGGAUUUAUUGGGUUUAAAGGGCGCGUAGGCGGGAUGCCAAGUCAGCGGUAAAAGACUGCAGCUAAACUGUAGCACGCCGUUGAAACUGGUGACCUAGAGAGAAGUCGAGGGAGGCGGAACAAGUGAAGUAGCGGUGAAAUGCUUAGAUAUCACUUGGAACCCCGAUAGCGAAGGCAGCUUCCCAGUCUUUGUCUGACGCUGAUGCGCGAGAGCGUGGGUAGCGAACAGGAUUAGAUACCCUGGUAGUCCACGCCGUAAACGAUGCUCACUGGAUCUUGGCGAUACACGGCCAGGGUUCAAGCGAAAGUAUUAAGUGAGCCACCUGGGGAGUACGUCGGCAACGAUGAAACUCAAAGGAAUUGACGGGGGCCCGCACAAGCGGAGGAACAUGUGGUUUAAUUCGAUGAUACGCGAGGAACCUUACCUGGGUUUAAAUGGGAAAUGUCGUAUUUGGAAACAGAUAUUCUCUUCGGAGCGUUUUUCAAGGUGCUGCAUGGUUGUCGUCAGCUCGUGCCGUGAGGUGUCGGGUUAAGUCCCAUAACGAGCGCAACCCUUACCGUUAGUUGCUAGCAUGUAAUGAUGAGCACUCUAACGGGACUGCCACCGUAAGGUGAGAGGAAGGCGGGGAUGACGUCAAAUCAGCACGGCCCUUACACCCAGGGCUACACACGUGUUACAAUGGCCGGUACAGAGGGCCGCUACCAGGUGACUGGAUGCCAAUCUCAAAAGCCGGUCGUAGUUCGGAUUGGAGUCUGUAACCCGACUCCAUGAAGUUGGAUUCGCUAGUAAUCGCGCAUCAGCCAUGGCGCGGUGAAUACGUUCCCGGGCCUUGUACACACCGCCCGUCAAGCCAUGGAAGCCGGGGGUGCCUGAAGUCCGUAACCGCGAGGAUCGGCCUAGGGCAAAACUGGUAACUGGGGCUAAGUCGUAACAAGGUAGCCGUACCGGAAGGUGCGGCUG